GAUUUUUUAACUAUAAUUAUAUAAGUAUAUAUUUUGAAAAUAUAAAAAAGAGUCAAUCUCUAAAAAUCU
rnacentral:tRNA from 1 species